CGUGGAUAACCUGCCUCACACAGGGGGAUAACAGUUAGAAAUGACUGCUAAUACCGCAUAAGCGCACGGCAUCGCAUGAUGCAGUGUGAAAAACUCCGGUGGUGUGAGAUGGAUCCGCGUCUGAUUAGGUAGUUGGUGGGGUAACGGCCCACCAAGCUGACGAUCAGUAGCCGACCUGAGAGGGUGACCGGCCACAUUGGGACUGAGACACGGCCCAA
rnacentral:rRNA from 1 species